rnacentral:rRNA from 1 species
AUUGAACGCUGGCGGCAGGCUUAACACAUGCAAGUCGAGCGGGGUGAUGGUGCUUGCACUAUCACUUAGCGGCGGACGGGUGAGUAAUGCUUAGGAAUCUGCCUAUUAGUGGGGGACAACAUCUCGAAAGGGAUGCUAAUACCGCAUACGUCCUACGGGAGAAAGCAGGGGAUCACUUGUGACCUUGCGCUAAUAGAUGAGCCUAAGUCGGAUUAGCUAGUUGGUGGGGUAAAGGCCUACCAAGGCGACGAUCUGUAGCGGGUCUGAGAGGAUGAACCGCCACACUGGGACUGAGACACGGCCCAGACUCCUACGGGAGGCAGCAGUGGGGAAUAUUGGACAAUGGGGGGAACCCUGAUCCAGCCAUGCCGCGUGUGUGAAGAAGGCCUUAUGGUUGUAAAGCACUUUAAGCGAGGAGGAGGCUCUUUUGGUUAAUACCCAAGAUGAGUGGAUGUUACUCGCAGAAUAAGCACCGGCUAACUCUGUGCCAGCCGCCGCGGUAA